rnacentral:tRNA from 1 species
GGGUCCAUAGCUCAGUUGGUCAGAGCACUCGGCUCAUAACCGAGUGGUCCUAGGUUCAAAUCCUAGUGGACCCA